GUGCUCACUUUGGCAGCACAUAUACUAAAAUUGGAAUGAUACAGAGAAGAUUAACGUGGCCCCUGCACAAGGAUGACAUGCAAAUUCAUGAAGCAUUCCAUAUUUUU
rnacentral:snRNA from 1 species